GCGCACACACCCUUGCCAGACACUUGUGGAACACUUUGAUAAAACAGCUCGUCCAUUAUGAACCAUUGAGGAAGGCUCAGCCAACUUCAGCGACUAAAUAUGAGCCGUAGUAUCCAUCCACAUUGACAGGAGGAGAUAGUUCCACACCAACAAUCAACAUUUAAUUCUUCCUCUCACAUCUUUAUGCCUUUUAAUUCCCUGGAACUUUACCCAUGAUCCCUUACUGCUGUGGAAUACACUUCCCCCACAGUGAACAUUUUUAUCUUAGUCACAAGGUGACAUUUCCCACUUGAGGAUAUGUCUGACCUCUGGGAAGUGGCAGUAGGGGUUUGAGGAUGUCACCUCUGGCCAGUUAACAAUAAGCAGUCACGAAGCCCA